GACGAACGCUGGCGGCGUGCUUAACACAUGCAAGUCGAACGGUGAAGCGCCUUCCUUUUUGGUGGGUGUGGAUGAGUGGCGAACGGGUGAGUAACACGUGAGUAACCUGCCCCCUUCUUCUGGAUAACCGCAUGAAAGUGUGGCUAAUACAGGAUAUUCUGGGUCUGUCGCAUGAUGGGUCUGGGAAAGAUAUUGUUUCGGUGGGGGAUGGGCUCGCGGCCUAUCAGCUUGUUGGUGGGGUGAUGGCCUACCAAGGCGGUGACGGGUAGCCGGCCUGAGAGGGUGGACGGCCACACUGGGACGGAGACACGGCCCAGACUACUACGGGCGGCAGCAGUGGGGAAUAGUGCACAAUGGGCGCAAGCCUGAUGCAGCGACGCCGCGUGAGGGAGGGGGGCCUUCGGGUUGUGAACCUCUUUCGCCAGUGAAGCAGGCCUGCCUCGUUUGUGGGUGGGUUGACGGUAGCUGGAGAAGAAGCGCCGGCUAACUACGUG
rnacentral:rRNA from 1 species